rnacentral:rRNA from 1 species
GACGAACGCUGGCGGCGUGCUUAACACAUGCAAGUCGAACGGAAAGGCCCUGCUUUUGUGGGGUGCUCGAGUGGCGAACGGGUGAGUAACACGUGAGUAACCUGCCCUUGACUUUGGGAUAACUUCAGGAAACUGGGGCUAAUACCGGAUAGGAGCUCCUGCUGCAUGGUGGGGGUUGGAAAGUUUCGGCGGUUGGGGAUGGACUCGCGGCUUAUCAGCUUGUUGGUGGGGUAGUGGCUUACCAAGGCUUUGACGGGUAGCCGGCCUGAGAGGGUGACCGGCCGCAUUGGGACUGAGAUACGGCCCAGAAUCCUACGGGAGGCAGCAGUGGCAAAUAUUGCACAAUAGGCGUAAGCCUGAUGCAGCAACGCCGCGUGCGGGAUGACGGCCUUCGGGUUGUAAACCGCUUUCGCCUGUGACGAAGCGUGAGUGACGGUAAUGGGUAAAGAAGCACCGGCUAACUACGUG